CCCGGUACUCUUGGAGCGGCAAAGGCACUGAGAUCCAAGUCCAUCAAUGGAAAGUCAACCAUUACGUUCAGCUUGCCACGAAAUCGUUCCAUCGGCGAAAAGCGUUUCAAAUCUAUCCGUAAAAUAUUAGGUUAAGAUCGCGUAAAAUUAGAAGAUAAGCCUCGAGGAACUUUUGAUUCGUCCUGGUAAUAUCCAAGAAAAAAGAAAAAAAAAAGAAA